AAUGUAGAUUAUAAUCCUCUUUCAUCAAGUAAUAAGCCUCACCAUGGCUAAGAGACGGCUGUUGUCUCAAUCUCAAUUCCAACUUCUCAAUAACCCACUUUCUAUCAGUCUGACUAUUCGUGAAUGUUCCUGGGCAUGAGUGAGUUGUAUUUUCAAAAGUCUUGAUUUAAAAGCUAUUUGUUAUACUACUACGCGAACAAAGUAUCUCCCAUUUGCAAUGCUCAAACACACAUUUUGCUCUUGCUCUUACCUUGUCAUUCUUUAUCCAUUUGAUUUGUCUUCCAAUAUGGAUGGUAUAGUCUUUCACAGCUUUUUUAAAUUCAGCCAAAGUUGCA
rnacentral:lncRNA from 1 species